GUCUACGGCCAUGCCACCCUGAACGUGCCCGAUUCCAUCUGAUCUCAGAAGCUAAGCAAUAUCCGGCCUGGUUAGUACUUGGAUGAGAGACCACCUAGGAAGACCAGAUGCUGUAGGCA
rnacentral:rRNA from 1 species